CUCAUGGCCUCCUAUUUGCUGUAAAUACAUUUUACUUUGUGAGACAACUUCCACUGGUGUAGAGUCUUAUUUAACUCACCAGGAGGUGAGCCCACUUGGUUCAGUAUCAAAUUGGCGACCCAGAGGGGACAUACCCCUUCAUGGUGCCUGUGCCACCGGCUUGAUGUCGCUGCCCCAUCGGCCGCACUAAGUGCUUUGCUUGGAGGAUCUCUCCAUGGAGGACAUAAUUGGAAACAUCGGUUAUAUUACCAAAGCUUUGAAUGGAAUAUCAUAUUUGAGAAAAACAUGCAUAAACUCAGAUACAACCAAACAGCUUUUGAAAAAUAAAGAUUGGACUUUCCGAAAUAAAGCCACUUGGAAAUAUCGGCCUGAUACCUUGUUCACAGAAGUUCCAAGCAAUCUUAUGUAGAAAUGCUUCUUACUAAAUACCUGAGUGCUUGCUUCCACAAUAUAGGCCUAACCUUGGGAGCCCACUUGCAUCACCAUCUUCUAAAUGAACUUAACUGGAAUGAUCUAUUAUCAGGACUAAGAAAUGUGUUCAGUGAGAUGAAACAAUCUACCACUCAGCUUCUGGACUAUGAAACUUCUUUAAGUUUCAAAAGGACUAUGAGAUAGGAUCAAAAUUGCUGGAGCAUUCUUUUCUAAGGAGUCACCCCUUGGGUCCACCGCACAUGGGUAAAAAAGGCACCCACACCUGCACAUCAAGGGUGAUCAUCACCGACAAUUGACGACUCCAAGUUUUCCUGCAAACAACUCUCUGAUUUGAAACUCUUGUUUCGGCGACACUACGUAGAUAAGUAAUGACUGGCUAUCCACCCCAGGCUCUGCCCUGGAUCCUAACCAAUCCCAUACCAUUUAGGCACAGAACGCUUACAAGGAGGCUGCAUGUUCCUGGGCAGCAAGACUAGGUCCAUCAGAGAAUGGGCAACCUAGCAGCUAGACUAUAAAGAGCUAGUGGAAUCUGGACGGGGGAAGAGAGGGCAAGUAUGCCCAGAUCCUAAACACAUUGAGGCUAUAAAAUUACAAAUGGUUGUUACAAACAAUUUGGGGCUAUGCCUCUGGUGAUGCGCAAACCUAUUUGAAAUUUAGCUGUAAAUUCCGCUCCUCUACUGGUUCCUAUGAAAACAUCUAUGCUCAGCAGGAAGCAGUUACAGAAGACGGACCUUCAACCUGUGCCCCUCAAGAAUGAGGAGCAGGAUAAAACUAGAGGGGGGAUUUGUCACUGACUAGUGCCCUGAGGAACUCAAGGGUGGGCUUGGAGGCAUUUAACUAUUUUUAUGUUAAGGAGACACAACCAGCAACCACCCUGAAACUAACCAAGCCCCCCUACAAGACCUACGCCCAUGACCUUGCCUUAAUUUUUUUUGUGUGUGUGUGAGGAAGAUCAGCCCUGAGCUAACAUCCAUGCUAAUCCUCCUCUUUUUGCUGAGGAAGACCGGCUCUGAGCUAACAUCUAUUGCCAAUCCUCCUCCUUUUUUUUUUUUUCCCCAAAGCCCCAGUAGAUAGUUUUAUGUCAUAGUUGCACAUCCUUCUAGUUGCUGUAUGUGGGACGUGGCCUCAGCAUGGCCAGAGAAGCGGUGCGUCGGUGCGUGCCCGGGAUCCGAACCCGGGCCGCCAGCAGCAGAGCGUGUGCACUCAAUCGCUAAGCCAGGGGGCCGGCCCCAACCUUGCCUUAAUUUUAAUACGAAGAUCCCUUCAGGAGGAGAUUAAGCCUCAUUACUGUAACCUGCAGUGUAUGUGGAAGCAUGUUUUCCAACUGAGCCUGUGCAAGUGAAUACCCACCUCUUCCUUUUGACUAUUCAUUUCCCAACCGAAAUAAAAGUUCCUCUUCCCUUUGUUUGGGGACGCCAUGACUUUGGAAAUGAUUCCUCAUGGUCUGCUGUUUGCUGCAAAUACACUUUACUUUGUGAGACAACUUCCACUGGUGUAGAGUCUCAUUUAACUCACCAGGAGGCAAGCGCACUUGGUUCGGUAUCAGAGAGACCCCUACAGGACGAUGGCGGAGAGGAGGCCUCAAGCUGAGUGGGCUCCUGGGUGGGAAGGUGAGGGCACGAGCUGGCAGGUCAAA